UACGGAGGAUGCGAGCGUUAUCCGGAUUUAUUGGGUUUAAAAGGUGCGCAGGCGGUCUGUUAAGUCAGCGGUCAAAGCCCGGGGCUCAACCCCGGCCCGCCGUUGAAACUGGCAGUCUCGAGUUGGAGAGAAGUAUGCGGAAUGCGCGGUGUAGCGGUGAAAUGCAUAGAUAUCGCGCAGAACUCCGAUUGCGAAGGCAGCAUGCCGGCUCCACACUGACGCUGAGGCACGAAAGCGUGGGUAUCGAACAGG
rnacentral:rRNA from 1 species